GUCUAUGGUCAUACCACCCUGAAUAAGCCUGAUGUCUGAUCUUGGAAGCUAAGCAGGGUCGGGCCUGGUUAGUACUUGGAUGGAAGGCCACCUAGGAAAACCGAGUGCUAUAGGCA
rnacentral:rRNA from 1 species